AUGACUGAGGCUCUACCUAAGCUUAGGGAAGACUUCAGGAUGCAGAACAAGUCUGUCUUUAUUCUGGGCGCCAGUGGGGAAACCGGCAAAGUGUUCUUAAAAGAAAUCUUGCAACAAAGCCUGUUUUCUAAAGUCAUGCUCAUUGGCAGGAGGAAGCUCACCUUGGAGGAGGAAGCUUAUAAAAAUGUGAACCAAGAAGUGGUGAACUUUGAGAAGUUGGAUGACUAUGCGAAUGCCUUUCAAGGUCAUGAUGUUGGAUUCUGUUGCCUGGGUAUUACCAGAAAAAAAGCUGGGGCUGAAAGAUUUGUUCGUGUUGACUGAGAUUAUUUGCUAAAGUCUGCAGACCUGGCAAAACUGGAGGGUGCACACAUUUCAACUUGCUGUCCUCUAAAGGAGCUGAUAAGUCAAGCAAUUUUUUAUCCUGCAAAUUAAGGGAGAAGUAGAAGCCAGGUUGAAGAAUUAAAAUUCGAUCUUUACUCCAUAUUUAGACCUGGAGUUUUGUUAUGUGAUAGGCAAGAAUCUCGCUCCAGUGAAUGGUUGAUCAGGAAAUUCUUUGGCUCCUUACCAGAAUCCUGGGCCAGUGCCCACUCUGUGCCCAUAGUGACUGUGGUGAGAGCGAUGAUGAACAACGCCAUGAGACCAAGUGACAAGAAGAUGGAACUGCUGUACAGCAAAGACAUCUAUGCCCUGGAGAAAGCUGAUGACACUCUCAGGCCAUAA